rnacentral:tRNA from 1 species
AAGACCUUAAGUUAAAGAAACUAGUAUCCUUCAAAGCUAUCAAUAAAGAGUGACUCUUUAGGCCUUA